AUGGCGUCGCUCUCCGUGGCCACGCUCCCGCAGCUGGCCGGCGCGCCGGCGGCGGCGGCGGCGAAGAAGAGGUCGGGCGUGACGUACGUGGAGGGCAUGAACGCCUACAGCGGCCUCAAGGGGCUCAACAAGGUGACCAUGCUGGGCGUGCGCAAGAGCGCCGACUACAAGUUCGCCAGGAUCGUGGCGUCGCUCAGCCCCGCGGGCAAGAGGCGCGGGGGCUCGUUCGGCGCGCAGUGCAACGCCGCCGGCGAGAUCUUCCAGAUCGCCGUCGUCAUGAACGCGCUCACGCUCGUCGGCGUCGCCGUCGGCUUCGUGCUGCUCCGGGCCGAGGCGGCCUACGAGGAGUCGGAGGAGUGA
rnacentral:rRNA from 1 species